UGCACCCAAGCUACUGAGUGCAAUGUAAAUCUUCAUUGGGACUUUCAUCAUUAUUAUUUUUGCUUGCUCUCUUAUCUCCCUUGGAAGAUGAGGAAAAGUACAGCAGAAUGUUUAGGGACAGCAGUAUAAGUAUCAGGACUCAUCUCCCUCCUUUCUUCACCCUUCACCAAGCCAAAAAAAAACCUGAUUCAGACUGGAUUGCUCCUCUCUGGUCAAAAUCCACCCUCUAACCCCAUCGAACCCAUUAUUCAAAACAGCCAAAAAUUUAAAGGUCCUCUCUUCAAUCUAUUUCCGAUUUAGCUCACCAUCUGUGAGAUCCUCCAACUCAGCAAUGAAUGAUGAUCUAAUUCCUCCCAAAAUGCUUGAGAUGAUAAAACAUGGCAAUGUUCUUUCUUUGUGAAUAAGUAGAAUUCCUUUUACUCCAUACCUUGAAUGUUGUCUAUAGAAAAGCAAGUCUUGUAAAUCUUGGAUGUCAUGGAGUUGAACAACCAAGACAUUACCUGGGUGUUCUCUUCCUCCCACUUAAGGUACCCCUUAUUAUUAAUCUUCUUGGACUUCUUGGUAUCACAUGUGAUAUACACUAAAACCCUGGGCCAGUAAGAAAAAGUUUGGCAGCCAUAGCCCCUUCAUGACAGCUAUAUCAUCUAAGGUUUGUUAUCUCGGUAUCGGAUCCGGUACCAAUACCAUCCUAUUAUAGUGUCAGUAUAUAGUACGAUAUAUUAAGAUUCGGCAUAUAAGUGUCAGUAUCG
rnacentral:lncRNA from 1 species